UGUCCUACAAAGGAGAACCUGCUCAUUAUUUCCAGUGAAGGCAAAGGUUAUUAUAUUGCAAUGUCCUCCAGUCUGACCAACUUCUCUAUCAAUAAGGGCCGAUUUCCUGUGAUGUGUUGGAUGACAUAUCUUUUAAAAAGAUCCCUGUGAGUGUUUAUGUGUUUUCUUUAGUUGUUUUCACCCUGUACACAGUGUUUUAGAACAGUUUUCUUCCUGGCUGUCUUAUCCACGGCCUGGAAGAAAAUAGUCUAUCAUUCUGUGUUAAUGCAAAAAUCAUGUUUGCCCUCAUUUUUGUUUCCCUCCAGUUCUAAAAAAAAUCGUAUCUGCUUUGUAUAGAAUUAUUGGAUAUUCAGUCUAAUUUAUUGAACUGUAUUUAAUUUAAUUUUUGUAUUUUCAUCUGAUUUUAUUUGUCUCAUUGUUACAGUUUGUAGAGUCGAAAUGAACUAAUCGUGAUGUACCCCUGCAAAGCACCUUGUAACCCUGUAUUAUUGAGAUGAUGAUGAUGAUGGUUAAUUUUUUCAUAUUUUAUCAUCGUUGUCUUGAAGGAAUUAAACACAAACUAUUUUAACUAGCUAUGAAAAUGCAAGGUUAUUGUUGAACGCAUAUCGUUACACUGAACAAAGCCUAAUGAAAGGCUGUUUACAGCUGCACCUGACAUCGGCCUGCUACACGCAGCACAUCCAACGCACCUCCGCAGCGCCGUCUGUUUACUCCGGCUUGCUGCACUGCUAACUCUGCUAACUCUGCUGUAACUUUUCUAAGUUACAGGAUGCUUGUAGCUACUGUAGCUGCUCAUAAACAAGCUGGAUGCCUACAGGCCGGCCAUUUAGCUUUGAGAAGGAUUUGUGGAGGAAAUGAGAAAGACUGCACCCUUCCGCCACUCCUGUCGGGCUGUCUGCUGUGGAGUUGAACAUGACUGGUGUUCGCAGUUUGGGGCCACACAACUCCUCCCAGAGGUUUCACUGUCUGCUGGGGCACAGAGGCUCUUUACUUCACUUCAACAAGGUUCUCACAGUGCUGCAGACUGCCACAGUGGACUGAGUCUGUCCAAAAUCAUGGUCUUCCAUUCCCUCAUGGACAGUCAAUUUGAGCAGUUGGUGCUUGUCUUUGCCAUAUACCACAUACAAAUAAGGAUUGAUGCUUAUCCAACCGAUCAUAUUGAAUUUAACUCUCCUUACUUUGAUCAGUAACUGGUUUUGCCCUCCUUCACAUCUGAUAUAUGAAGAAAAAUGGCUCUCCACUGGGAAUGGUUGUAUGUGGACCCCCAUUUCAUGAAAACCUUAUCAUCACAAUGCAGCUGUCACCCGUCUUCUAAAUAACCUGCCAUCUCCCGAAAAACAAACAAAGUAAACGUGGGUUUUUAACUGACACAAUCCCCAUUGAAAAGACUCCACUCCAACUCGUGUGACUAAAGUAUUAUUGCCACGCAGCGAGGACGCUGAUCUGUUCCAGCCACAGAGAUGAUUGAGGAAUCAUUGUCCACCUGAGUAUUCAGGCUUGGUGUUGAUGCUGUCACUCACUGCCUGUCGCUGUCGAUUACACAUGGGUGUCGAGAAGUGUGAAAAUCCAGAUGUCCCAUGUGGCGCUGGUCUGCUUCUGUGCGUCCUUGCCCAAAGUCAAGCAAGUGGCUGUCCUUUCCGAUGAAACGGAUGAUAACUCUACACUCUCAUACCUUUGACUGUAUGAAAAAAUAUGGACUCUAUGCUCUGGACACACACACUAAAUAGAUUUUAAUCAAGCCAUAGGGGCCCGACAAGUGAGUUGAGUGAUUUUAUGAACUGCACGGUGACAUCUCACAUGUCUAAUGUUUAGUCAUUUGUCUUUGUUAUACCUGCUGUUGCUAGCAGGCACCGAAGCAGAGAGAAUAAUGAGUAAAGAGAACAAAUACUAUUUCAUCUUGACACGAUUUAGAUGAUGCUACCCAGCACACACUGUGUAUAUUUUUCAGAGAAUUAGUUUUCUCUUUUUUUUAAAUGUUUUGGAUUAACGGGACUGAGAGGAAUUUCAGUCUUUAUUCUUCUCCGUAGAUUCAAUGAAUCCACCGCUGCUGGUCUUCUGAGAUAUUGUGUUGGAGCUCAGAGGAAACGAGGCACACCCACAGGGCCCACAUUACUAUUAAAGACAGCGUUAGAAAGA